UACGAAGGGGGGCUAGCGUUGCUCGGAAUUACUGGGCGUAAAGCGCACGUAGGCGGUCUUUUUAAGUCGGGGGUGAAAUCCUGGAGCUCAACUCCAGAACUGCCUUCGAUACUGGAAGACUUGAGUCCGGGAGAGGUGAGUGGAACUGCGAGUGUAGAGGUGAAAUUUCGUAGAUAUUCGCAAGAACACCAGUGGCGAAGGCGGCUCACUGGCCCGGUACUGACGCUGAGGUGCGAAAGCGUGGGGAGCAAACAGG
rnacentral:rRNA from 1 species